CACUCCAGUGGCCUAGUAGUUAAUGCAUCUGCCUCAGAUGCAUGAGGUUGUGGGUUCGAUCCCUAGUUGAGUCA